UACGAAGGGGGCUAGCGUUGCUCGGAAUCACUGGGCGUAAAGGGUGCGUAGGCGGGUCUUUAAGUCAGGGGUGAAAUCCUGGAGCUCAACUCCAGAACUGCCUUUGAUACUGAGGAUCUUGAGUUCGGGAGAGGUGAGUGGAACUGCGAGUGUAGAGGUGAAAUUCGUAGAUAUUCGCAAGAACACCAGUGGCGAAGGCGGCUCACUGGCCCGAUACUGACGCUGAGGCCCGAAAGCGUGGGGAGCAAACAGG
rnacentral:rRNA from 1 species